rnacentral:piRNA from 1 species
UGUAUCCUAGGAUGGUGCGGGUUGC